AUUGAACGCUGGCGGCAGGCCUAACACAUGCAAGUCGAACGGUAACAGGAAGAAGCUUGCUUCUUUGCUGACGAGUGGCGGACGGGUGAGUAAUGUCUGGGAAACUGCCUGAUGGAGGGGGAUAACUACUGGAAACGGUAGCUAAUACCGCAUAACGUCGCAAGACCAAAGAGGGGGACCUUCGGGCCGCUUGCCAUCGGAUGUGCCCAGAUGGGAUUAGCUAGUAGGUGGGGUAACGGCUCACCUAGGCGACGAUCCCUAGCUGGUCUGAGAGGAUGACACGCCACACUGGAACUGAGACACGGUCCAGACUCCUACGGGAGGCAGCAGUGGGGAAUAUUGCACAAUGGGCGCAAGCCUGAUGCAGCCAUGCCGCGUGUAUGAAGAAGGCCUUCGGGUUGUAAAGUACUUUCAGCGGGGAGGAAGGGAGUAAAGUUAAUACCUUUACUCAUUGACGUUACCCGCAGAAGAAGCACCGGCUAACUCCGUG
rnacentral:rRNA from 1 species